rnacentral:rRNA from 2 species
GUGAACCGGGAUGAGCUCAAAUUUGAAAUCUGGCGUCUUUCAGGCGUCCGAGUUGUAAUCUAUAGAGGCGUUUUCCGCGCCGGACCGCGUCCAAGUCUCUUGGAAUAGAGUAUCAAAGAGGGUGACAAUCCCGUACUUGACGCGACAACCGGUGCUCUGUGAUACGUUCUCAAUGAGUCGAGUUGUUUGGGAAUGCAGCUCUAAAUGGGUGGUAAAUUCCAUCUAAGGCUAAAUAUUGGCGAGAGACCGAUAGCGAACAAGUACCGUGAGGGAAAGAUGAAAAGCACUUUGGAAAGAGAGUUAAACAGCACGUGAAAUUGUUAAAAGGGAAACGAUUGAAGUCAGUCGUGUGGGAAGUAUUCAGCCGUCUCUGGCGGUGUAUUUGCUUCUCACGGGUCAACAUCAGUUUGAUCCGGUAGAAAAAGGCGGGAAGAAGGUGGCACCCUCGGGUGUGUUAUAGCUUCCUGUCAUAUGUGCCGGACCAGACUGAGGAACGCAGCUUGCAGCAAUGCCGGGGUUCGCCCACGUACAAGCUUAGGAU